UGGGGAAUAUUGGGCAAUGGGCGCAAGCCUGACCCAGCAACGCCGCGUGAAGGAUGAAGGUUUUCGGAUUGUAAACUUCUGUCGCGAGGGACGAAGAAUGACGGUACCUCGUAAGAAAGCCCCGGCUAACUACGUGCCAGCAGCCGCGGUAAUACGUAGGGGGCGAGCGUUGUCCGGAAUGACUGGGCGUAAAGGGAGUGUAGGCGGCUAAAUAAGUUAGAUGUGAAAUCCCACGGCUUAACCGUGGAACUGCAUCUAAAACUGUAUAGCUGGAGUGCAGGAGAGGUGAGUGGAAUUCCUAGUGUAGCGGUGGAAUGCGUAGAUAUUAGGAGGAACACCAGAGGCGAAGGCGACUCACUGGACUGUAACUGACGCUGAGGCUCGAAAGCGUGGGGAGCAAACAGG
rnacentral:rRNA from 1 species